rnacentral:lncRNA from 1 species
AAAGAAUAUUAAGGACUCUUUUGAGAAAGUUUCCAGGACCAAGUAAUCCAUUCUGAAGCAAUUGCCUUCCAGAAGGUGAAAGAGACUUCAGCUUCUUCCAACAGGAAGAGGGUAGCUGAGACCUGGAAGUCAUGUCUGGAACAUUCUGCAAGAAAAAUAGCUAAUACUGAUUGGAGAAGCCAUACCAGAGCCGUUCCUGCAAACAGAGAGAACUGGCACUUGAUAAAUGACUUCCCAGGACCUCCUGAGACCACCCAGACCAGUUUGUCCAUGGUCAUUUGAUCUAAAGGAAGACUGCACCAUGACUUGUUACACUCAGAGGAUACCCUGCACUGUCUUCAGCAGCAUAAACAACUGAGCAAGGACCUGUGAAGACCUGGUGAACACAACAGGAGACCCUUUUGACUGUACUGUAAGUCGUGCAUCUUUUUUCUGUGGAAGAACUGUCAAAUGUUACAACAAUUUCUGAUUAAUCAAUUGAGAAAUUAUAUUGUUCUCAAU